rnacentral:rRNA from 1 species
UACGGGAGGCAGCAGUGGGGAAUAUUGCACAAUGGGCGAAAGCCUGAUGCAGCUAUGCCGCGUGUAUGAAGAAGGCCUUAGGGUUGUAAAGUACUUUCAUCGGGGAGGAAAAACAAAACUAAUAAUUUUAUUUCUUGACGUUACCCGAAAAAGAAGCACCGGCUAACUCCGUGCCAGCAGCCGCGGUAAUACGGAGGGUGCUAGCGUUAAUCAGAAUUACUGGGCGUAAAGAGCACGUAGGUGGUUUUUUAAGUCAGAUGUGAAAUCCCUGGGCUUAACCUAGGAACUGCAUUUUGAAACUGAAAUACUAGAGUAUCGUAGAGGGAGGUAGAAUUCUAGGUGUAGCGGUGAAAUGCGUAGAUAUCUGGAGGAAUACCUGUGGCGAAAGCGGCCUCCUAAACGAAUACUGACACUGAGGUGCGAAAAGCGUGGGGAGCAAAACAGGGAUUAGAUCC